AGUCUUCAGUUUUUUUCUUUCCAUAUUAUGGAAGAUACAUUUCAGUGUAUGUCUAUAAUAAAAUGAAAGUUUUUUUUUUUUUUUUUUUUAAACCUUUUUAAUUACUUUUCUAAAAUCAGUUGCAUGGUUGGUAGCAAUUUUCACUGGGAAGCAGUCAGCCUCUUAUGAGGUUACAUCACAGCCCCUGGAUACCACUGCUGAUGUGUUAAAGCGCAAACCAUAUUUGUUGCCCUCACCCAGUCCAAAGCCUACCUGUCACCUUCAUGCAGCUCCCAGCAAGUUAGAGGUUUCUGAAAUGGCUGCUAAAUCCAGAGUUCUGUAUGGCAGCAUAGUAAUCUCAGCAGCUGGGAUGAUCCCACUUCUAUAUAAGGCUUUCAUACCAGAUGUGGCAGGAGUUACCAUUUCUGCGAUAAAGCUGCAUUGUAAUCUUGAUUAUGUAGUGAAUAUAACAGGAACCUUGAGUUAAUACUGGGAGCUGAAAUUUCCUGAUGUUACCUUAUAAUACAUAGUGCAUUCUAUAAGCAGAACAGGGACAAGUUACUUGUGAUUGAGAAAAGUGCAUACGUAGCUUAAAAAAAUCUCAUUUCUGUCUAGCUAUAAUUACUGAACUUUGGCUCCCUUUGGUCACAGAACGCUGUUUUAAAACACUAUUAAAAUGUCAGGCAGUGAUUUUGUUAGAUAUUUAUCUUUUAUCUUUUCGUUUUUAAAACUGAUUUCUACUACUGCAGCUGUUAAGACUACUUCUGGCACUUGGCGCACAUAGUGCUUAAACCAUAAACCUUUGAAUCAUUAGUAGAGAUGGGUGAAAUUUUUUGCACAGCUUUUUUUGACGAAAAAUGCAGAUUCAGCAGCACAAACAUUUUGCAAGGUUAUGUCAAUGUCAUCAGAUUAUUUCAGUUGAAAAAACCUUAAAAAAUCCAGUAAAAAUCAAAACCUUUUGUUCUGACAUUUUGUAAACAACUUUCAAUUUCAGAAUGUCCUUUAAUUUUACUCCCCCCCCUCCCACCCCCCCAGAAAAUCAUUCCAAAUGCUUGAAAUCUAAACAAAACAUUUUAUUUCGGUUGAAGGAAACAUUUUAUUUGACCCAAAACAAACAUUUUUUUUAUUUUUUCAGAAUUGCCAGUGAACCGAAUAAUCUAUUAUUCGCUCAGCUCUAAUCAGUAGUUAUGCUUUUGUAGCCUAAUUGAAUGCAAGUAAGUUCAUAAAUGCUGUUUAAAGUCUGGAGUUGAGUAAUAUAUUGUCCUCUGAAGAGGCAGAUGCCAGAGGGCGUGGAAGUUGUAAACAAUUGAUUUUUUUUUCAAAUAUUUUUAACCUACAGUAUUUAAAUAGUGCAGUUUAACAAGUACUUUCCCAUCAUAAGGGACAUAUUCUACAUACAUGGUUCCCCAUCACCAUAAUAUCUCAGCACCUGCAAAUUAUCUAAAAUAGAAAUAAUCCCUCUCCUUGUGAGAGGUAUGGUUUGUGGAGGGAUUGUAGAGGCAAUGUCCAGCUAGCUAGCGCCAGUCCUGUUGAGGGUUUUUAAUAGCAUGGCAGACUACUUACGGUGAUUUUGUACUGAAUAGGGGACCUGAGAGCAGAGUACUAGGGCGAUGUGAUGUUAAGUAGACAAACUAUGGCAUGUACCAAUUCAAACUUAUUUUGUUGUGUGGUGCUUUGAUCCUAGAUGAGUGUGUUGUAGUAACCAAAGUUACAGAUCAUGUAUAUGUGGCUCACUGUGGUAACAUGGCUGUUGUAACAAUCCAGGGGAUCUUCAGCAGUUGGGUAUUGCUGCAAUGCAGGGGUGGUUCUGGCCAUGCCCCUAAUGUUGGGGACCAGAAGGAAGGCUGUCUAGAGCUGGCUUUAUGAGCUCUACAGCACCUGGGAUUUCCCCCAUGAUCUUCAGCUGGUUAGAGCCGCUGAUUUUUAUGGCCCCUUUGCACCAGCAAAUUGGCACAAAGAGUGGAUUAAUUUUUGUCACUGAUUUUUUGUUUUAAUUAUGAUUUAAGUCAGCAAGGAGGAAACCUUGAUUUAAAUAGUCUAUUUUAAUCUUGUUUUGCAUUUGUACUUUCUAUUUAUUUUCAUAAAGAAAGGUUCAGUCUCAUUUGUUGGUAUAACUAUUAAAACAUGUUGAUUUGCAACCAGAUACACUCUUCGUAGUAGAUUUGGUACUAUUUUUUGCUAACCAGAAGGAUAUGGUAUAUCUAUACACUUAUUUAAGCAAUUAUAUAUUUUAGCAUACAUUCUGAUUAUUAAUUUUUACAAGCAGGGGCUACAUUAGAAAAUUGUGAAUGAAGCAGUUUUUAUUUACAAGGUGAUUUUUUUUCAAUGCAGGACUUGUCAAGCUGCAUUGGACGGAAAUUAGAAUUCAACUAAUGUAUAACACCAGCAUUUUUUUAAAUUAGUUAAAUAAAACUACCUAAAUGUGCUGGGUGCAUAGGAAAAAUAGGUUUAUAAAAACAUUUUUAUUAAACAAAAGAAGCAUUAUGCGUAGUUAGUGAAUUGACAGAUUGUCUCUGGUCACCCUGGACUAAACAGGUUAGGUUCCUUACCUGCUUCUGCGCUUUUUGAAAAUCCCAAGAGGUUAGGCACGGAAGUGCCUAAUUUCCUUUGUAAAUCUUGCCCCAUGUCCUUUAAGUUCUUAGAAUUCGUAGAUCUGAUCCUCUCCCACCUGAUUUUGAUUUAUAAAUUGGAAGAGGAAAUCAAGCUUUCUUGCUUUUUCAGCUCCCAGUUGGUUUCUUAACUUUGAACUAGCACAGGUGAGGAAAAUAUUCUGUCUACCCUGCUUAGCUAAAUUGAAACCACAAGUAAUUAUGGUAAAAGCUGUUCUGCACAAAAGAAAAUGUAAAGUACUUACGUUUGUAAAAAUGUAAAUGCCAGCGUUUGCUCCUUUGUAAAGAGUGAUGAUAAUAUACUUAAUGCAAUAAGUGGUAUUUAUAAAGCUUGAGUUAACCUCAAAAGUUAAACGCUAUUUCGCCCCCAAUUCUGUAUAUAAUUUAAAAAGCAGCACCCUUUAACUCAUUAAAAUUUGAGGGCCCAUUAAUUCAGCAUUCGUUAUAUAAUAUGUGAAACAGAUAGAUUCUAGUAAGUUUAGGCCUUACUAUAGAUUUAAACGAGUUUAUUUUUAAAAGAAAAAUACAAAAAUCUGAUGUUUAAAAAAUGGAUUAAUAUUUAUUUUAUCUGUCCUAGCACAAUAAGACUGGAGAACUUGGCCCCAUAUCUUAAUUCUUUACCUGUGUUACUGAACACCUGUUCCUCUUAACUUGGGCAGUGAAACUGUACUAAUAUUUCACUUCUGUUUAUAAUCAAUUUAGUCAGUUUAACUCUGGUCUCUUACCGGCAGCCAUGUUAAAGGAUACCAUCCACUUAAAAACUGGUCUUCUUUCUGAAUAUUUUAUCUGCUAGUUACUUGUAACAGCUCAGAUUAAUAACAAAUUUUAAACCUUUUUCAGUUUGUUUUGUUCACUUUCCAGGACUUAUAGCAUAAUAAUUUUUCUCCUUUAAUAGUGUGUUUUCUCCUGUGGUGUUGGUGGGUGAUGUGGCAUGGGUUUUUGUUUGUUUGUUUUUGUUUGUUUUUGUUUCUGGUGCCUUUCAUAUAGCAAUGGGGCAGGAAAUCGUCUUAGUGUGUUUUUGUAAACUCAUAAAUUAGCAAAGGGCUUGAGAUAUUAAAUAACUCAUUUAAAAAACAAAAACAAAAAUCAACCAGCUUGAACUCUGGUUGCUG